GCGAUGAAGGGCGUACUAAUCUGCGAUAAGCGCCGGUAAGGUGAUAUGAACCGUUAUAACCGGCGAUACCCGAAUGGGGAAACCCAGUGUGAUUCGUCACACUAUCAUUAACUGAAUCCAUAGGUUAAUGAGGCGAACCGGGGGAACUGAAACAUCUAAGUACCCCGAGGAAAAGAAAUCAACCGAGAUUCCCCCAGUAGCGGCGAGCGAACGGGGAGGAGCCCAGAGCCUGAAUCAGCAUGUGUGUUAGUGGAAGCGUCUGGAAAGGCGCGCGAUACAGGGUGACAGCCCCGUACACAAAAGCGCAUGUGCUGUGAGCUCGAUGAGUAGGGCGGGACACGUGGUAUCCUGUCUGAAUAUGGGGGGACCAUCCUCCAAGGCUAAAUACUCCUGACUGACCGAUAGUGAACCAGUACCGUGAGGGAAAGGCGAAAAGAACCCCGGCGAGGGGAGUGAAAAAGAACCUGAAACCGUGUACGUACAAGCAGUGGGAGCCCCACCACCAAAGCAUUUGCUGUACCGCGUUGACGGAGCGAAGCGACGUCAAACCGAUAAAACAGCAGUGUAAAGUGAGCCGCAGGGCGCUUUGCGCGACAGCGCAAAGGCAGGCGGUUUCGCGUAGCGAAAGCGAAUGCUUUGGGGUGGGGUGACUGCGUACCUUUUGUAUAAUGGGUCAGCGACUUAUAUUCUGUAGCAAGGUUAACCGAAUAGGGGAGCCGGAGGGAAACCGAGUCUUAAUUGGGCGUUAAGUUGCAGGGUAUAGACCCGAAACCCGGUGAUCUAGCCAUGGGCAGGUUGAAGGUUGGGUAACACUAACUGGAGGACCGAACCGACUAAUGUUGAAAAAUUAGCGGAUGACCUGUGGCUGGGGGUGAAAGGCCAAUCAAACCGGGAGAUAGCUGGUUCUCCCCGAAAGCUAUUUAGGUAGCGCCUCGUGAAUUCAUCUCCGGGGGUAGAGCACUGUUUCGGCUAGGGGGCCAUCCCGGCUUACCAACCCGAUGCAAACUGCGAAUACCGGAGAAUGUUAUCACGGGAGACACACGGCGGGUGCUAACGUCCGUCGUGAAGAGGGAAACAACCCAGACCGCCAGCUAAGGUCCCAAAGUCAUGGUUAAGUGGGAAACGAUGUGGGAAGGCCCAGACAGCCAGGAUGUUGGCUUAGAAGCAGCCAUCAUUUAAAGAAAGCGUAAUAGCUCACUGGUCGAGUCGGCCUGCGCGGAAGAUGUAACGGGGCUAAACCAUGCACCGAAGCUGCGGCAGCGACGCUUAUGCGUUGUUGGGUAGGGGAGCGUUCUGUAAGCCUGCGAAGGUGGCCUGUGAGGGUUGCUGGAGGUAUCAGAAGUGCGAAUGCUGACAUAAGUAACGAUAAAGCGGGUGAAAAGCCCGCUCGCCGGAAGACCAAGGGUUCCUGUCCAACGUUAAUCGGGGCAGGGUGAGUCGACCCCUAAGGCGAGGCCGAAAGGCGUAGUCGAUGGGAAACGGGUUAAUAUUCCCGUACUUGGUGUUACUGCGAAGGGGGGACGGAGAAGGCUAUGUUGGCCGGGCGACGGUUGUCCCGGUUUAAGCGUGUAGGUGUGUGUUCCAGGUAAAUCCGGUUCACUUUAACACUGAGGCGUGACGACGAGGCACUACGGUGCUGAAGCAACAAAUGCCCUGCUUCCAGGAAAAGCCUCUAAGCAUCAGGUAACAUCAAAUCGUACCCCAAACCGACACAGGUGGUCAGGUAGAGAAUACCAAGGCGCUUGAGAGAACUCGGGUGAAGGAACUAGGCAAAAUGGUGCCGUAACUUCGGGAGAAGGCACGCUGACACGUAGGUGAAGUGAUUUACUCAUGGAGCUGAAGUCAGUCGAAGAUACCAGCUGGCUGCAACUGUUUAUUAAAAACACAGCACUGUGCAAACACGAAAGUGGACGUAUACGGUGUGACGCCUGCCCGGUGCCGGAAGGUUAAUUGAUGGGGUCAGCGCAAGCGAAGCUCCUGAUCGAAGCCCCGGUAAACGGCGGCCGUAACUAUAACGGUCCUAAGGUAGCGAAAUUCCUUGUCGGGUAAGUUCCGACCUGCACGAAUGGCGUAAUGAUGGCCAGGCUGUCUCCACCCGAGACUCAGUGAAAUUGAACUCGCUGUGAAGAUGCAGUGUACCCGCGGCAAGACGGAAAGACCCCGUGAACCUUUACUAUAGCUUGACACUGAACAUUGAGCCUUGAUGUGUAGGAUAGGUGGGAGGCUUUGAAGUGUGGACGCCAGUCUGCAUGGAGCCGACCUUGAAAUACCACCCUUUAAUGUUUGAUGUUCUAACGUGGACCCGUUACCCGGGUUGCGGACAGUGUCUGGUGGGUAGUUUGACUGGGGCGGUCUCCUCCUAAAGAGUAACGGAGGAGCACGAAGGUUGGCUAAUCCUGGUCGGACAUCAGGAGGUUAGUGCAAUGGCAUAAGCCAGCUUGACUGCGAGCGUGACGGCGCGAGCAGGUGCGAAAGCAGGUCAUAGUGAUCCGGUGGUUCUGAAUGGAAGGGCCAUCGCUCAACGGAUAAAAGGUACUCCGGGGAUAACAGGCUGAUACCGCCCAAGAGUUCAUAUCGACGGCGGUGUUUGGCACCUCGAUGUCGGCUCAUCACAUCCUGGGGCUGAAGUAGGUCCCAAGGGUAUGGCUGUUCGCCAUUUAAAGUGGUACGCGAGCUGGGUUUAGAACGUCGUGAGACAGUUCGGUCCCUAUCUGCCGUGGGCGCUGGAGAACUGAGGGGGGCUGCUCCUAGUACGAGAGGACCGGAGUGGACGCAUCACUGGUGUUCGGGUUGUCAUGCCAAUGGCACUGCCCGGUAGCUAAAUGCGGAAGAGAUAAGUGCUGAAAGCAUCUAAGCACGAAACUUGCCCCGAG
rnacentral:rRNA from 1 species